rnacentral:lncRNA from 1 species
AACAGGUUGUGUGGGUCAGGUUUUAGGAGCCCCUGUGUGGCCUCUUUCUAUCUUUCUGAUUACCUGCACUGGAGGAAUCUCUAACAGAAGCUGCAGAGCCCACAAGGUCCCUCUCAGGCCUUACCAUUUUAGCACAAGCAGGCCAGGUGCCUAAGAAGAGUGUGUCCUCCAGAUAAGACAGCAUUAUUUGUGAGCCUUUCUUCCUGGCUACCCUGGGAGGGAAGGCUGACAUUGAUACUGAGCUGCUCACUGAUUUCAUAAUCAGAGAUGACACCACUGCAAAAGUCAAGGUUGAGUAUUGUUCUUCUGUGCCUGUUACCCAGCUUGCCUGGAGAGUUCGAGAAGCUCAGCGGUCAAGAUAAAACGAGUCUCCCGAGCAAGAAACCUGAAGAAAGUCUACACAAAGCCGGCAGAUGGAAGAGCAGAGAAAGUCUUAAGUCACUUGUGAUGUCAUUCGGAGCCUACUGA